GGGUUCCGUCAGUCGUCAUCUGUACUUGUGGGUAAAAAACAAACAUAACAAACUAAUACCUAAAUGCCUCAAACAAAAAGCGUUAGAGCCAGGGUACGUAGCCAAAAAUCUACAACUGAAUUAUGUCCUUAAAAUUCUCAACCAAAGAAUCAGACGAUUGAAUG